GCUAAUACUUAACCACCACACCAAGCAGGUGGAAGUUUGAGGGCCAUUGAGCACUGUGAAUUUUCCCAAUGCAUCACAAUUACCAAAACACCUGUGCUAAAUAACUUUGCGCUGAGCCACUGUGAAAAUUCACAGAGUGCUCAAUAGCCCUUGAAAUUUCUCAUUUCUAACCAGGGCUGGAGUGGCUGAGCGCUCACACAUUGCAGCACAGCACAAAGCAGUGAUCUGUGAAAACCUCUAAAGGGAUGACACGGAGGGAACAAAGCUGGAUAAAAUCCUGGAGUAUUUGCCAAACUGACAAAAAAUAUAGAAGAGAAAACAUCAAGCCCAGCCAAGUCAAAUAUCAAUCUACUUUUGUGUGCUUUGUUUCAUUAAGUUUACUUUAUGAUUCAUUUGUAACAAACUGUGGUGGAUAAUGAGUACUUGCAUCACAAACCUCUGUGUGCUUAAGAAAUCACUCUCUCUACACGGAGAAGGACUGGAUAAAAACAACAGAGCCCUCUCAUUUGAAAAAGCCCUCGGUGGUCUAAGCACGAGUGGAGAUCUCUUAAGCAGUGCUCCAGCAAUGAAGCACUCACAUCAACACUGAAGUAUUCAAGCUCUGUGGAGACAUCCCAGCCCAUUCUAUUCAAGCCUGCCAAGAUGCCCUGUAAGCGUAUCUCCAAGCACGUAGUGGUUUUUGGGCAGCUGCCUCCUGGGUGGAUAGCCCAGGAGAUACCCACAGGCAGGCAUGUUGUGCGCAUCCAGCAGCUCUCCCUGAGGACACUGCCAACCCCAGCUUACACGUCAGAGGACAGCAAAAGUCUGAAGCUGCAGAAGGCUGAACGCCUCACCCAUUGGUCUUGGUGGUAGUCCAUCGAUGCAGGAUCAGGUCUAGAUCCACUAGAGUCUAUCCAGGCCCCUUUCCACCACAGCUCGAGAUCUCCAAGCACACAUCCCAUGGGGCAAGCUGCUCCCACUUCAAGCUGGAUGUGACACACAGACAAAUAGGAAGGGAAAGCACACACUAAGUGAAAACACUUUAAAACAAAAUGAGAUUCAUAGACAAGUUCAUCUCUCAUGCAGAAGUUAGCCCUUUAUACAGAUGAACUUCCACUUCUCUCUGGUUUACUUGAUUUUCUUCAUACUUCACUUAGAAGCGGUCCCACAACUAAUCAGAUCAACGCCAAGACAGCAGACUUUGUCAAAUUCCUCAAAACUUGUGCUAUUCCCAGGCUGGGCCUGCCAUUUGCCUCCUUCAGCCACAGCCACAGGGAAGCAAUUGCACCUCUGCUCCUGCCAACCUGCAGGAACUGCUCCCUUAUCAAUAACUGCAGCGCUGAAGAGAGUGUCUCCCAUAUGACAGGCAGCUAGAAACGAGCUGAUCCAGCAGGAAAAAAAGCACGAAGGACUGAAUUGCAGGCAAGCUGCAGGUGUUCAGAUAAUUACAAGAGUUUGGCAAACUGUGGGAACAGCACACGCUCCUAAAACGACAGCACAAGCUUUAAUACUUCCAUUGCACAUCUGUGCAUCAGUGUCUCACUCCCCCCCCCCACCUCAGCAUUUUGAAUGCAUAGCAGAGCUUUGCAAAGCCUUUGGGUGAAGAUUCAAACACUAAGCAAAGAGAUAAAUG
ensembl:lncRNA